AGCGAACGCUGGCGGCAGGCCUAACACAUGCAAGUCGAACGAACUCUUCGGAGUUAGUGGCGGACGGGUGAGUAACACGUGGUAACGUGCCUUUUGGUUCGGAAUAACUCAGGGAAACUUUUGCUAAUACCGAAUGUGCUCUUCGGGGGAAAGAUUUAUCGCCAUUAGAUCGGCCCGCGUCUGAUUAGCUAGUUGGUGAGGUAAAGGCACACCAAGGCGACGAUCAGUAGCUGGUCUGAGAGGAUGACCAGCCACACUGGGACUGAGACACGGCCCAGACUCAGACGGGAGGCAGCAGUGGGGAAUAUUGCGCAAUGGGCGAAAGACUGACGCAGCAAUGCCGCGGGAAUGAUGAAGGUCUUAGGAUUGUAAAAUUCUUUCACCGGGGACGAUAAUGACGGUACCGGGAGAAGAAGCCCCGGCUAACUUCGUG
rnacentral:rRNA from 1 species